UACAGAGGGUGCGAGCGUUAAUCGGAAUUACUGGGCGUAAAGCGUGCGUAGACGGUAAUGUAAGUCAGAUGUGAAAGCCCCGGGCUCAACCCGGGAGGGUCGCGGCGAACUGGGAGGCUUGAGGCCGGUAGAGGUGGGUGGAACUCCUGGUGGAGUGGUGAAAUGCGUAGAGAUCAGGAAGAACACCCGUGGCGAAGGCGGCCCACUGGGCCGGUGCUGACGCUGAGGCGCGAAGGCGUGGGGAGCGAACGGG
rnacentral:rRNA from 1 species